AUCGCAAGGAUUAUAUUUGUUCCAAAUUUCGUUAUUCCAAAAGUGAGACAAAUUUGGAGAAGAAAAGAGAAUCAAAAUGGUGUACUUGUCAAUACCUCUCCAACUCCAAGUUGUUUAAAUUGACUGAGCUCUCUCUUUGCAAAUGCUUUCAUUCAUGCAUGGUUGCAUGUUCAUAUAGUAUAGAUAUUGUAUUUUUUUUCUUGUUAAAAAAAUUUGUGUGAGGUGAAAUGCUUGACCUAUUAUGAUAGUAUAGAAAUGAUUUCAUAUGAAUUCUAGCUUUGUUCACUUGAUGGCAUGACUCUACUAUGAUAUGUUUGACCCAUUGUAGACAAUAGCCUCUUGUUGAUAAUAUAUGAAUGUUAAUGAGAUUUUGUGCUUAAAUAUAGUGUGUCCAUUUUUCAUACACUCUUUUUUUCAUGUGUACAAUCGUAUGUGUUUUGCAUCUCUAGAACUUGCCUUGAGACCUCUCAAAACUUUGUAUCAUAUAUUUCUCUAUUUUGGAGGCGUUAGGACUUACCACUAUUUCCACUUGCCAGUGCCUCACAUUUUUUUGUCCCUGGUUAGCCUUUUUGAGCCUGGAUGUAAGUCUUUUUGUUCUUAACCUUAAAUUUUUCUUAACUAGCCUCUUAUAUUAAAAAUGCCCUACCCUACAAAGAAACUAGUAGCUUACGUUUUCCAAAUGAGAGAGUUCAAGGCUGUUCAAAAGCUAAAGACACAAAUUUUAAAGAAACUCAAUUACAAAUGAAGAGCAAAAGAAGAAAAGAGGAAAAUAGGUCAUUGUGAGCCACAAUGAGCUGUCAACAUCAUAAAAAAUCAAGUGCAUCGUUGCCUGGUUAAUUGUUGCAUUUCUCUCUUAGUUUCGUUUUCCACCACUUUAUAAGUUUUUUGGACUUUGUGAUUCUCAUAUCCUUCAUUUAUUUAACCAAGUCCCCGAAGCCCCAUUACAACCCUUCACAAAGACCUACUUGAUCCAAAGAAGGUAAAUUUGAGUGUAUACACUUAACCCCAAACACUUUGAGUGACAAUUCGAGUGUAUGACUUGUGAGUUUAAAGGUUAAAUUAGAGUUGAUCUUGUCAUGCUUAAUUGCAUUUGUGUUUUACCAACUUUUGUCUAUACUCUCAACUACACUCAUACAUGUUAUGGUUCAGGGAAAGUGUUAGCUUGUGAAUGAGGAUUCAGAACUACAUGUGUUCUUGCACUCUUUCAUGUUGGUACAAUCAUAUGCUUCUCAUAGAUUAGAGGAAAAAUAAUCAUAUCAUUUGUGUGCUGCAUUUCAUUAUAUUUUUUUAAGCAUUUGUUUAAGGGGAGCUUAACAAUAUGAAAGAUGUAUUUCUUUCCAUGUUUAUUUUUUUUUUCCACUAGUGCAUUAGUUUUCUUUCCCCUCCUCAAUUCAUCUCACUUUCAUUCUUCCGAAGUGGUUUCAGUUCACAUAAAAGAAAUUUUUUCCAUGCCAUUUCGUUAUGUUCGCUUAUCUUCCGUAGAUUGCACCGGAUGAUUACCUCGAAUAUAUAUCUUUCAGGAAAGGAUCUGUUUCGCAUUUCAAGUGAAUAAGACAAAGUUGAUGUCUAUUUGCCUCCUCCCUAUUUGACAUUUAUUUAUUUCUCUCUUACUUUUAGACCUUUCACCCUUAUAGACAAAAAGGGGAAGAAGUAUGAUGCUUAUAUCUAGGAAGAGAAGUAGAAUUUCAAAAACCUGGUUGUUUUUGGUUGCUUGCUAUUACAUAUAUAAAUGUUUUUAUUUUCAGCAGCUUAUAUCUUUUGUACGCCACAGGUUUUUUGGUUUGAGUGUGUGCAGGUUAUAAACGUUGAUGUUAUGCAUGGUCUUUUAUAUUAUUAUCCAUUUGUAAUAUUGUGAUUGAGGGUUUUAUCUAGGAAAUCCCAAAAGGGGAGAUUGUUAGGGUAAAAUUGGAUGUUCAUAAACAAAACGCAUGAGUAUGUAAUUUGUAGACUAGUACAUGUUUUCUGUUGUAGCUAUUUUGGUCUAAGUUUGUCUCUCGUACUCUCGAUCACAAAAAUGACAAAUGUUUUAGAGACAUCUACUCAGGUACAAUUGUAAUACAUACGCAUAUAAUCUGGGUUCAUGUCGAUUGGGCUUAUUGGUUUUAACGGCCUGUUUUGAAUUUGGGUUUAAAAUUCUUUCGGAACCUAUUUGGUUGUGUGGUUGUAUGUUAAAUUAGUUUGGGCUUAAGAAGAUAGUGCCGUGGAAUCCUAUAGGUAAAAUACCUUAGCCUUUGGUUAGUAAUUUGAUAAUUUAGUUUGUCUGCUUUAUCCCAACAACUUCAUGCUAGCCAUGCACGUUUAUCAUGUUUGUAGUCUCAAUCUUUUAGAGUUUUAAGUUCAUUAAAAGUCUUCUACUGUAGCCAAUAUAUCUAGGUGCUUAGAUAUUCAUUUCGUGCUACUGCUGCCGUAUUACAACAUAUAUAUGCAUUGAGAGCAAUCAUUUAUUUGAGAGAGCAUGUUGGAAAUGUGCCCUAAAACCAAUCAUGUGAUGAUACUUUACGGACAUUUCACAUGUUAAACUAAUCUAGUUUAAUAUCAAGGGCAAAGAUUAUUGUUUUAAGACGUCUCAUAUAAAUGUUAUAUGCUUAAACGAUGAGUCCAAGGAAUAUGUAAUUAGGAGAAUGUAAUUUAAAGAAGUUAGAUUCAUGAAACCAUUCUCUUUCGUAUACAUAUCCUAAACGUUCCUGAUCAUAGGAUUGCCAAUUGGGCAUUGACAGUCCGUUAAGAUCAGUAUGUGCUAUGUCUUCUCUUAGUGAGAGUAACUGGUCUCAAGUCAUUGGUGUGACUGACACCAAGACAAGUACGUAGGUGCUCAAUAAGGAAUGAGUUCACCGAACACGAUCAACGAAGAGUUCUCAUACUCAUGUCACAUGAGAACUCAUGGUUGGGAUAAUGCAAAGUAGUCAUUUGACCUAAGGCAUCAUAGUUGUCUUGUGGUUAGGUCCUUGAUCUUUGAUUAUGUCAAAGUCACUCCAUUCGUGGGUGUCCACGACAUAGUUGGGGUUAAGCCACUUAGCCAUGGAGGCAAGUGAAUGCGCAACA
rnacentral:lncRNA from 1 species